GCAGAGACAUUUGGUGUGAACUGCCGCU
rnacentral:sRNA from 1 species